AUANUGCAGUCGAACGAACUUCCGUUAAUUGAUUAUGACGUACUUGUACUGAUUGAGAUUUUAACACGAAGUGAGUGGCGAACGGGUGAGUAACACGUGGGUAACCUGCCCAGAAGUAGGGGAUAACACCUGGAAACAGAUGCUAAUACCGUAUAAYAGAGAAAACCGCAUGGUUUUCUUUUAAAAGAUGGCUCUGCUAUCACUUCUGGAUGGACCCGCGGCGUAUUAGCUAGUUGGUGAGGUAAAGGCUCACCAAGGCAGUGAUACGUAGCCGACCUGAGAGGGUAAUCGGCCACAUUGGGACUGAGACACGGCCCAGACUCCUACGGGAGGCAGCAGUAGGGAAUCUUCCACAAUGGACGCAAGUCUGAUGGAGCAACGCCGCGUGAGUGAAGAAGGGUUUCGGCUCGUAAAGCUCUGUUGUUAAAGAAGAACGUGGGUAAGAGUAACUGUUUACCCAGUGACGGUAUUUAACCAGAAAGCCACGGCUAACUACGUGCCAGCAGCCGCGGUAAUACGUAGGUGGCAAGCGUUAUCCGGAUUUAUUGGGCGUAAAGCGAGCGCAGGCGGUCUUUUAAGUCUAAUGUGAAAGCCUUCGGCUCAACCGAAGAAGUGCAUUGGAAACUGGGAGACUUGAGUGCAGAAGAGGACAGUGGAACUCCAUGUGUAGCGGUGAAAUGCGUAGAUAUAUGGAAGAACACCAGUGGCGAAGGCGGCUGUCUGGUCUGCAACUGACGCUGAGGCUCGAAAGCAUGGGUAGCGAACAGGAUUAGAUACCCUGGUAGUCCAUGCCGUAAACGAUGAUUACUAAGUGUUGGAGGGUUUCCGCCCUUCAGUGCUGCAGCUAACGCAUUAAGUAAUCCGCCUGGGGAGUACGACCGCAAGGUUGAAACUCAAAAGAAUUGACGGGGGCCCGCACAAGCGGUGGAGCAUGUGGUUUAAUUCGAAGCUACGCGAAGAACCUUACCAGGUCUUGACAUCUUCUGACAGUCUAAGAGAUUAGAGGUUCCCUUCGGGGACAGAAUGACAGGUGGUGCAUGGUUGUCGUCAGCUCGUGUCCUGAGAUGUUGGGUUAAGUCCCGCAACGAGCGCAACCCUUAUUACUAGUUGCCAGCAUUAAUUUGGGCACYYUNGUGAACUGCCGGUGACAAACCGGAGGAAGGUGG
rnacentral:rRNA from 1 species